UACGUAGGGUGCGAGCGUUGUCCGGAAUUAUUGGGCGUAAAGAGCGCGCAGGCGGUCGUUCAAGUCGCGUGUGAAAGCCCCCGGCUCAACCGGGGAGGGUCGUUGGGGACUGGAUGGCUUGAGGACGGCAGGGGCCGGUGGAAUCCCCGGUGUAGUGGUGAAAUGCGUAGAGAUCGGGGGGAACACCCGUGGCGAAGGCGGCCGGCUGGGCCGGUCCUGACGCUGAGGCGCGAAGGCGUGGGGAGCGAACGGG
rnacentral:rRNA from 1 species